rnacentral:miRNA from 1 species
GGCCUGCUGGUGCCUGCCUUGUGAGGAGCCUCACAUUCAAUGACACUCAAUUCAGUGAAUGCCUACUGUGUGCCAGGCAUAGUG